rnacentral:rRNA from 1 species
CCUACGGGAUGCACCAGUGGGGAUAUUGCACAAUGGGCGCAAGCCUGAUGCAGCCAUGCCGCGUGUGUGAAGAGGGCCUUCGGGUUGUAAAGCACUUUCAGCGGGGAGGAAGGCGUUAAGGUUAAUAACCUUGGCGAUUGACGUUACCCGCAGAAGAAGCACCGGCUAACUCCGUGCCAGCAGCCGCGGUAAUACGGAGGGUGCAAGCGUUAAUCGGAAUUACUGGGCGUAAAGCGCACGCAGGCGGUCUGUCAAGUCGGAUGUGAAAUCCCCGGGCUCAACCUGGGAACUGCAUUCGAAACUGGCAGGCUAGAGUCUUGUAGAGGGGGGUAGAAUUCUAGGUGUAGCGGUGAAAUGCGUAGAGAUCUGGAGGAAUACCGGUGGCGAAGGCGGCCCCCUGGACAAAGACUGACGCUCAGGUGCGAAAGCGUGGGGAGCAAACAGGAUUAGAUACCCGGGUAGUC